rnacentral:rRNA from 1 species
AACUAGCGUGGUAAAAACAUGCAAGUCGAGCGAAAGACGAGGAGCUUGCUCCUUUGACGUUAGCGGCGGACGGGUGAAAAAAAAGGAGGGUAACCUACCUAUAAGACUGGGAUAACUUCCUUCAAAAAGAAAGCUAAUACCGGAUAAUAUUUCGAACCGCAUGGUUCGAUAGUGAAAGAUGGCUCUGCUAUCACUUAUAGAUGGACCUGCGCCGUAUUAGCUAGUUGGUAAGGUAACGGCUUACCAAGGCAACGAUACGUAGCCGACCUGAGAGGGUGAUCGGCCACACUGGAACUGAGACACGGUCCAGACUCCUACGGGAGGCAGCAGUAGGGAAUCUUCCGCAAUGGGCGAAAGCCUGACGGAGCAACGCCGCGUGAGUGAUGAAGGUCUUCGGAUCGUAAAACUCUGUUAUUAGGGAAGAACAAACGUGUAAGUAACUGUGCACGUCUUGACGGUACCUAAUCAGAAAGCCACGGCUAACUACGUGCCAGCAGCCGCGGUAAUACGUAGGUGGCAAGCGUUAUCCGGAAUUAUUGGGCGUAAAGCGCGCGUAGGCGGUUUUUUAAGUCUGAAGGUGAAAGCCCACGGCUCAACCGUUG